rnacentral:rRNA from 1 species
AUUGAACGCUGGCGGCAGGCCUAACACAUGCAAGUCGAACGAGUAGCGGACGGGUGAGUUAUGUCUGGGAAACUGCCUGAUGGAGGGGGAUAACUACUGGAAACUGUAGCUAAUACCGCAUACCAUCGGAUGUGCCCAGAUGGGCUUAGCUAGUAGGGGGGGUAAAGGCUCACCUAGGCGAAGAUCCCUAGCUGGUCUGAGAGGAUGACCAGCCACACUGGAACUGAGACACGGUCCAGACUCCUACGGGAGGCAGCAGUGGGGAAUAUUGCACAAUGGGCGCAAGCCUGAUGCAGCCAUGCCGCGUGUAUGAAGAAGGCCUUCGGGUUGUAAAGUACUUUCAGCGGGGAGGCGUUACCCGCAGAAGAAGCACCGGCUAACUCCGUGCCAGCCGCCGCGGUAAUUC